UGAGACCUGAGGGGCACGGAUGGAUUGGGAUAUCGGGAUGGAUAAUAGCAUGGUUGGUUUUCUGCAUGGUUCUCUGUCUCUGACUUGGCCUUCGGGAGAGGAAAAUCAGUUGCGCUGCGCAUGCGCUAGAAGUGAUGUCACGUGUCUCUCUUUGCCGCCGCCGUGCCGUCUGCUCGCUUCGCGUGCGCAUGCGCUAGCAGACAGCGGUUUGUUUGCUUGAGUUUGUGAGCAUGCUUGCGGAUGAGAUUUGUGGUAGUGCUGAAGCAGCUUUGCCAAAUAUUCCGUUCAAGUUCCUCGCUGGAUGUCCGGCUCGUCCGUCGAUGUUCAACAGAUGCAACAAGUGCCAGUCCACUUUUUCUCAGCUGCACCUUCUCAGUCCAGCAGCAGCACCAGGUGAAUGUAGGCACACAACUUCCCAGUAAAUUAAGACGCACGAGUGCAAUUCUGAUUUUCAGGCAUGGGGAGAAGAAAUGCAGGAUGCAGCCAAGAGUCAUUUUACUAAAGGCACAGGAGUAAAAAGAUUGAAAGAUGGAAGUUUAAAGUGUUAUUAUAUUUGUAACUGAUCGGGUGCUUUUACAGAGAAGAACAUCAAAGAAAAAAGGUCCAUAAAAUCAUAAGGUUCCGUUAGGCGUGGGGUAACCUGCAUUGAUGAUUCGUCUGCAACGUUCCAGACUGGCAAAGUUCCAGGACAUAACGGGACGUAUGCUCCGGGGCCCCAUCUCGCUCAUGAUCAGAGCCGACAGUUAAGGCAUAAUGGUUUCAAAUUUCCAAAGAUUGCAGUUCAGAAUUUGUAUGAGUACAACACAACAGCGUGUACAGCCCGAGACAAAAGUUCACGGCACUGCGCUUUUCUUCAUCGGAGCGGUCCCCUGCCAGCUACCAGCAAAAGAUCGAAUAAGAAACGGGUCUAUCUCUCAGUAUGUGCGUCCGCUCUUGUUUGAUGGUAGGGUGUCACUCCAAUGGAGAAAUGUGACACCAUGGUGGUCUGUAAACAUUUGUACCAAGCUGUACAUUGUACAACCUCGACAACUAACAAACACUGCUCGGUCAGGUCAGUGUCCCAAUUUGAGAUUUUGCUGCCUAUUUCUUCCCAAAAGGCUGCUCUUGCAAAAAUGCUUAAGAAAGUCAUUUGGGUGAACUCCGGUGUACCAAGAAAAGUGCAGAACAAAAAAUUUGUAGUAGUAUAGUUAGACUAUAUAGUAAUUUAUAGUAUGCCUUAGUAUAGUUAGACUUUGAAGGCAGUAGUCAACAUAAAUAAGUUUUACCUCUGAGCGAUGAUGGCCCAUUCAAGGCAACAACAAACUCAUAGGUUCACCACAUCAUCUAAACUUCCUCGCCCUGUUACAGCUUGUUUCUGUCCACAACAUCUUCAAGGUGCAUAUUCUGUGCCAUGCAACCAGAGGAGUGGUUACAUGAACUAUCAUUCAUCGAGCAUUUGUGAGGAAAUUGUUAGAGGAAUCAGUCAGACAGAUGUGUUUCAGAUGAUUUUUUUUUUUUUUCAGUUUUCAGGUUUUUAUUGUUAUUUCAUGACAGUAUACUCUGAUACUGAUACUGGGCAAGCCCUGUUGAACAGUCCAAGACACAGUCAAUGCAAAUGUCUACACAAUUUGAGGGGAACAGAAAUACCAAGAACACAUGACAAGUAUAAGAAACAAAUAGCAAAGAUAUUGCACAGCAGAGAAAUGCACACAGUCAAAAAGUAAUUGCAUGUCACCCUACGUAUCAGCAGAAAAGUCCUGUUUGAUGGUGUUUUUGAAGGAUGCCAGAUUAUUGUUGGAACGAAUGCGUAGAGCAGUGUUUCUCAAACUGUGGGUUAUGACCCCCAAAUGGGUCAUGAGCUGUUGAAAGAUUCAUUGUUUCACGCCCAACCAGAGGGUAAAGCUCAAUUCAUGUUCAAAGCAUUAAUGGACUGUCAUGCGUUGUCACAUGACAGUGCUGCAUUCAUGAGUAAAUGAUGUAGAUGUGAAGGUCCUUAAGCAUGAAUUCAACAGAAAUCCUCUGGCUGGGUGUAUUUCCUGCUGCUUGGCACACCCUUGGAAUCUGGUUGAAAAGCUGCUUCUGAAAACUGCCCUGCUGCUAUGGCUUUCUUCACACCAUCUGUGCAUCAAUAUUCGAACAGAUUGGGACAAAAGUUUAUGGAGCAUCGGGGUGUUGCAUUUCUUUAUGGGAGUGACACCCUAGCAGCAAACAGAAGCGGCCACACACACUGAGAGGUGCACAGAACAGCCAGUCACGUGUUUCUUAUUCGAUACCUUCCUGCUAGCCAGCAGGGGGCCGCUCCGAUGAAGUGCAAGGCAGCAGGCUCAUUGAUAUGGUGUCCAGCUGGAAUUUGUGGUAUUUUGGAACAAUGUAUUGCUAACGAGACCAGUAAAAAUAUCCAAAACUG